CCAGCUUCAUGUCUGCCUAGUCCAGCAGCUCUCAAGGAUCUUCUCAUCAUUUCCCUUAAUCUCAAGCUGAAUACAAAAAACAAGCACACAGACACACAAGCAUGCAGAAUAUUGCGGUUCCCGUCACAUCUCCGUAGCGUCUGCAGCAUUCGUGGAUCCUCAUCAAAGACAAUUUCAAGACUCAUCAGGAAUCCUGCAUCAGAUCAAAGGUUCUCAUUUUCAACAUCCUCUGUCCAAGAGGAACCAAGAGGAACCAACACCAGCUGGCUAUAAAAGCUCCUACUGAUACUUCCCUGCCAUCUUUCCAGCUUCCACCUACAGGAAAAAGCAGAACAUCUUCAUAUUUAAUAACCUAGAUAGAUCCUUCUCCUACUAAUUUGUCCAAUCAUUUUUGGAAAUAAACACUAUUCUUGUGGU